AUUGAACGCUGGCGGCAGGCUUAACACAUGCAAGUCGAACGAGCGGCGGACGGGUGAGUAAUGUCUGGGAAACUGCCUGAUGGAGGGGGAUAACUACUGGAAACGGUAGCUAAUACCGCAUACCAUCAGAUGUGCCCAGAUGGGAUUAGCUAGUGGGUGGGGUAAUGGCUCACCUAGGCGACGAUCCGUAGCGGGUCUGAGAGGAUGAUCAGCCACACUGGAACUGAGACACGGCCCAGACUCCUACGGGAGGCAGCAGUGGGGAAUUUUGGACAAUGGGCGCAACCCUGAUGCAGCCAUGCCGCGUGUAUGAAGAAGGCCUUCGGGUUGUAAAGUACUUUCAGCGGGGAGGCGUUACCCGCAGAAGAAGCACCGGCUAACUCCGUGCCAGCAGCCGCGGUAAUUC
rnacentral:rRNA from 1 species